rnacentral:misc_RNA from 1 species
AACGCACCUUGCACCCUUUGGCAUUCCGAAGGGUAUGCUCGUUUGAGUGUCAUUGUACUCUCACACUCGUAAUCUUUUCGAUCGCGAGCGGUGGACUUGGGUGCUGCUGCUUACCCGCGGCUCACCUCAAAUGGAUUCGUGCACCUCUUGGUUGGACAUAGUACGGCGUGAUAAGUGUCUUCGCCGGCGCCUCAUUGCGAGGGUGGCCGAUCGGGAGCUCUGUGCUUCAAACCGUCCUCGGACAACAACUGACAACUUGACCUCAAAUCGAGUAGGACUACCCGCUGAACUUAA